CACGGGUGAGUAACACGUAUGCAACCUGCCCUUGUCAGGGGGACAACCCGCCGAAAGGCGGGCUAAUCCCGCGUAUAUUCCCCGGGGGCAUCCCCGGGGGAGGAAAGGUUUCGGCCGGACAAGGAUGGGCAUGCGGCGCAUUAGCCAGUCGGCGGGGUAACGGCCCACCGAGGCGACGAUGCGUAGGGGUUCUGAGAGGAAGGUCCCCCACACUGGUACUGAGACACGGACCAGACUCCUACGGGAGGCAGCAGUGAGGAAUAUUGGUCAAUGGCCGAGAGGCUGAACCAGCCAAGCCGCGUGAAGGAGGAAGGCGCUAAGCGUUGUAAACUUCUUUUGUCAGGGAACAAAAUGGGGGAUGCGUCCCCUACCGAGUGUACCUGAAGAAAAAGCAUCGGCUAACUCCGUG
rnacentral:rRNA from 1 species